AGCGAACGCUGGCGGCAGGCUUAACACAUGCAAGUCGAGCGGGCCCUUCGGGGUCAGCGGCAGACGGGUGAGUAACACGUGGGAACGUACCCUUUGGUUCGGAAUAACGCUGGGAAACUAGCGCUAAUACCGGAUACCCCCUUUUGGGGAAAGGCUUGCUGCCGAAGGAUCGGCCCGCGUCUGAUUAGCUAGUUGGUGGGGUAAUGGCCUACCAAGGCGACGAUCAGUAGCUGGUCUGAGAGGAUGAUCACCCACACUGGGACUGAGACACGGCCCACACUCCUACGGGAGGCAGCAGUGGGGAAUAUUGGACAAUGGGCGCAAGCCUGAUCCAGCCAUGCCGCGUGAGUGAUGAAGGCCUUAGGGUUGUAAAGCUCUUUUGUCCGGGACGAUAAUGACGGUACCAGAAGAAUAAGCCCCGGCUAACUUCGUGCCAGCAGCCGCGGUAAUACGAAGGGGGCUAGCGUUGCUCGGAAUCACUGGGCGUAGAGGGCGCGUAGGCGGCCAUUCAAGUCGGGGGUGAAAGCCUGUGGCUCAACCACAGAAUUGCCUUCGAUACUGUUUGGCUUGA
rnacentral:rRNA from 1 species